CCUGGGGAGUGCGGUCGCAAGAUUAAAACUCAAAGGAAUAGACGGGGACCCGCACAAGUGGUGGAGCAUGUGGUUUAAUUCGAAGAUACGCGAAGAACCUUACCUAGCCUUGACAUAUUUUAGAACACUUUAGAGAUAGAGUGGUGCCUUCGGGAGCUAAUAUACAGGUGCUGCACGGCUGUCGUCAGCUCGUGUCGUGAGAUGUUGGGUUAAGUCCCGCAACGAGCGCAACCCUCGUCACUAGUUACUAACGGUUCGGCCGAGGACUCUAGUGAGACUGCCUUCGUAAGGAGGAGGAAGGUGAGGACGACGUCAAGUCAUCAUGGCCCUUACGGCUAGGGCAACACACGUGCUACAAUGGCCAGGACAAUGAGAAGCGAUACCGCGAGGUGGAGCAAAUCUAUAAACCUGGUCUCAGUUCGGAUUGUAGUCUGCAACUCGACUACAUGAAGCUGGAAUCACUAGUAAUCGUAGAUCAGCUAUGCUACGGUGAAUACGUUCCCGGGUCUUGCACACACCGCCCGU
rnacentral:rRNA from 1 species